AUUGAACGCUAGCGGGAUGCUUUACACAUGCAAGUCGAACGGCAGCGCGGACUUCGGUCUGGCGGCGAGUGGCGAACGGGUGAGUAAUGUAUCGGAACGUGCCCAGUAGCGGGGGAUAACUACGCGAAAGCGUAGCUAAUCCCGCAUAGGCCCUACGGGGGAAAUCAGGGGAUCGUAAGACCUUGCACUAUUGGAGCGUCCGAUAUCGGAUUUGCUAGUUGGUGAGGUAACGGAACACCAAGGCGACGAUCCUUAGCUGGUAUGAGAGGAAGGCCAGCCACACGGGCAGUGAGACCCGGCGCCGACACCGACGGGGGGCAGCGGUGGGGAAUCUUGGGCAAGGGGGGAAACCGUGAUCCAGCCAUACCGCGUGUGCGAUGAAGGCCUUCGGGUGGGAAAGCAAUUUUGUCAGGAAAGAAACGUCGCGGGCUAAUAACCCGUGGAACUGACGGUACCUGAAGAAUAAGCACCGGCUAACUACGUG
rnacentral:rRNA from 1 species